GAUGAAAGCUGGCGGCGUGCCUAAUACAUGCAAGUCGAGCGAACAGACGAGGAGCUUGCUCCUCUGACGUUAGCGGCGGACGGGUGAGUAACACGUGGAUAACCUACCUAUAAGACUGGGAUAACUUCGGGAAACCGGAGCUAAUACCGGAUAAUAUAUUGAACCGCAUGGUUCAAUAGUGAAAGACGGUUUUGCUGUCACUUAUAGAUGGAUCCGCGCCGCAUUAGCUAGUUGGUAAGGUAACGGCUUACCAAGGCAACGAUGCGUAGCCGACCUGAGAGGGUGAUCGGCCACACUGGAACUGAGACACGGUCCAGACUCCUACGGGAGGCAGCAGUAGGGAAUCUUCCGCAAUGGGCGAAAGCUUGACGGAGCAACGCCGCGUGAGUGAUGAAGGUCUUCGGAUCGUAAAACUCUGUUAUUAGGGAAGAACAAAUGUGUAAGUAACUAUGCACGUCUUGACGGUACCUAAUCAGAAAGCCACGGCUAACUACGUG
rnacentral:rRNA from 1 species